rnacentral:piRNA from 1 species
UGAAAGAACUGCAUGAUCUUUUG